AUUUUCAGUUUUGAAUUUGUAAAGAAAGAGUUUAUGCAUAAAUAUUACUAUCGUAUUUCAUAAAACUUUGAAGUGAAAAACACUCACAUUCUAUGAUGUGGCGAAGUCUAUUUAAUUAUAUAUUAAUUGCAAGCUACUAACUCAUGUCGUAAACUAUUGUAGUGUGAUUUUGUAUUGUUGGAUUCAAAACUACCGGUUUCUAAGAAUCAACUAUUCUUUCCAUGAGAGAUUCUUCUGCGACCAGAACAGCCGGCUGAACGAGCUGAUGGCCGAGACCAAGACCACGGAGUAAAGAACACUCAUUGUUAUGUAUUCUGUGCCAAGACCGAGAUAUCGCUGGCUCCCCCCUCCACUGGCAAGGACCAGAUAGCUAUAGCUGGUGACAAGGAGGGAGUGCAAGCUGCCAAGGACCACAUCAUGGCUGUCUACAACGAAAUGCACUGACGAUGAUAUAGGAGAAGGCGAACAGCGUAGUGGAGCAGUACCUAGACGUGCCCUCCUAGAUCCACCGACAUCUGAUCGGCAAAAAGGGCGCCGACAUUCUCAAGACAAAGGAGGACAGCCCCAAGGUCUAUUUCGAAAAGAACAAGGACCGCCAGGAGAAGGACAAUCGUAUCAGAAUAGAAGGU